GCACGCUGGAAUAGCUGGGGUGGGUGGGUGUGUAUCACAGGCACGCUGGAAUAGCUGGGGUAGGUGGGUGUGUAUCACCUGCACGUUGGAAUAGGUGGGGUAGGUGAGUGUGUAUCACAAGCACGCUGGGGUAUGUGGGUGUGUAUCACAGGCACCCUGGAAUAGCUGGGGUAGGUGGGUGUGUAUCACAGGCACGCUGGGGUAGUUGGGUGUGUAUCACAGGCACGCUGGAAUAGCUGGGGUAGGUGGGUGUGAAUCACAGGCACGCUGGGGUAAGUGAGGUACGUGGGUGUGUAUCACAGACACACUGCGGUAGGUGGUUGUGUAUCACAGGCACGCUGCAAUAGCUGGGGUAGCUGGGUAGGUGGGUGUGUAUCACAGUCACCCUGGAAUAGCUGGGCUGGGUGGGUGUGUAUCACAGGCACGCUGGGGUUGGUGGGUGCGUAUCACAGGCACCUUGAAAUAGGUGGGGUACGUGAGUGGGAAUCACAGGCAUGCUGUAAAAGCUGGCGUAGGUGGGUGUGUAUCACAGGCACGCUGGGGUAAGUGGGUGUGUAUCACAGGCACCUUGGAAUAGCUGGGGUAGGUGGGUGUGUAUCAGAGGGACGCUGCGGUAGGUGGGUGUGUAUUACAGACACGCUGGGGUAGGUGGGUGUGCAUCACAGACACGCUGGAAUAGCUGGUGUAGGUUGGUGUGUAUCACAGGCACGCUUGAGUAGCUGGGUGUGUAUCACAGGCAUAAUGGGAUAGGUGGGUGUGCAGCACAGGGACGCUGGGGUAGGUGGGUGUGUAUUACAGGCAUGCUGGAAUAACGUCUCCGUCAGAGAAUAUACACAACAGUGGCAGAUUAUUUACAUAGUUCAAGUGAAGUGUAAAUAUUGAAUUACAAUCUUAAUUCCCCUUUUCACACUUUUAACCCAGCGAACUAGCAGAUGCAAGAAUUUGUCACAUGUAUGACUGAUAUUACAGAAACAAAAUACUGCAGAUAGAUAUAUAGAUAAAUACAAGUAGCGUUCAAGCUAGAUGGGCGAAAGCAGUAACAGAAUUAUGGGGAAGUCAGGAUAUGCAAAUUUUAGCAUUACAAGAGCCAAUCAAAUGGUGUGAAGAGAUAGAUAGAUAAUUAUUAAACAUGUAGAAUUCCUCUUAGUCUUAAUAUAGCCAUACAGCUUUUAUUUAUUACACUGCAUCAUACACAUUAUUUAGUACUAUAAUAAAACCAAAACAAACAUAUUUAGAGUAACUUAAAAAACA